rnacentral:rRNA from 1 species
AGAGCGAACGCUGGCGGCAGGCCUAACACAUGCAAGUCGAGCGCCCGUAGCAAUACGGGAGCGGCAGACGGGAGAGUAACACGUGGGAACGCGCCCUUCGGUUCGGAAUAACUCAGGGAAACUUGAGCUAAUACCGGAUACGCCCUUACGGGGAAAGAUUUAUUGCCGAAGGAACGGCCCGCGUCCGAUUAGCUUGUUGGUGAGGUAACGGCUCACCAAGGCGACGAUCGGUAGCUGGUCUGAGAGGAUGACCAGCCUCACUGGGACUGAGACACGGCCCAGACUCCUACGGGAGGCAGCAGUGGGGAAUAUUGGACAAUGGGCGCAAGCCUGAUCAAGCCAUGCCGCGUGGAUGAUGAAGGCCCUAGGGUUGUAAAGUCCUUUUAACGGGGAAGAUAAUGACGGUACCCGUAGAAUAAGCCCCGGCUAACUUCGUGCCAGCAGCCGC